rnacentral:lncRNA from 1 species
UUUGACAUAAAUUUCUUACUCAAUUCAAGUUAAAAGUUACAAGAGAGGUGCACUCCUAUUUAUAGGAGAGUUGGAUAUCUAAAAUAAGAAUUCUAACCUAAAAACUCUUCAUUGGCAAGGUGACAAGUGGCAUCACAUGUUUCAUGCUCAUGAUCCUCUCAAAUGAGAGGUUGACAAAUGUGACCUCUUAAUUGGUGGGGAUCCUCUCCAUUGAGGAAGACCCAUGUGGACGCUCAUGUUUCUCAUUGCACGCCCAUGCUUCCCAUGCUAACUGGUGAGUCACCUCGUAAUAUGACUCACUAUUCUAUUAGCCCAAAUACAAGGCCCAAAAAUCAAACCAAAGUCCAAUACAUGACCCAAAUAAAAUCUUAAACUUUAUAUAAUUAUUUAAACUAAAGUCUGACCCAAAAAGAUAAUGACUUGGUCUUGCUGAAACCAGCUGAGUUCUAGUCUUAUUGUAGUUCUCUGACACAUAAUAUUAUUUCAUGGUUUGGAGGUCUUCUCUAAAAUACUUUGUACAUUUCCUUAUCCAAGAGUUGUCCACUUUAUUGGGCCUACAAAAGAUAGACAAAAGUCCAAUUAGGACCAUAUGUGCUAAUAAGUCAUUAACAAAGCUCUAAGUUUUCAUCCUCCUUAUUAUAUAGGUCUUGUGGUUAGACGGGUUUCCAUCAUAAGGUAUUUGAGAUUUUUGGAUUUCUCUUUAUUACAUUCUCAAAUACGAAACUUUCCAAAAUCAUUUAACCAAUAAUCUUAUUUGAAAAUAUUGUUUUCUAUGAUUUAGAAAUAUCAAAUAAGAUUUGGAAACAUAAAAACAGUGUCAUAAAACAUUCUAAGAAUGUAAUGAUUAAGUAUGAACAUUUCCCUAACGCAGUGAUUCGUUUGACGAAUAGAAGAUACUUGUAUUGUCUAAUGGCUUGUAAGAAAAUGGUUUGAUAUUUUUUUACCUUGUGUUAUUCAAGGAGUUCGUCUGAUGAGAUCUUUUUGUGUGACCAAGAGCGCUAAUAUCGUUUGACGAGUCCAUCAUAUGUGGGGUAGGCCCGUGAGACUGUUUGAUGAGAACUAUGAGAUCAUCUUAUACGUUUUCUUCACAUUUUAUCUUCUUAUGUGCACAAUGUUCUCUAUUCCCAAUGUUCUCUUUCAAUAUUUUAGCCACUUAGAAUAUGUCUAUAACAUAGACAUGAAGGUUGGAUCAUCUGAUGACGGUUAUACAGUUAUAUAACUAUAAAUUUUAUACAACUAUACUAAAAAAUUGAAAGAA